UUUCCGUAGGUGAACCUGCGGAAGGAUCAUUCACAAUAAGUGUUUUAUGGCACUUCUUAAACACUCCAUAUCCACUUUGUGUGCAACGUUAUAAGACCCUCUAUCGUUAUAUUUUAGGCUACGGAAGAGGGAACCUCUACAACGUACCAACAUCACCUUUAACUUACUUGCCUGAACAAUUGUUAUCACGAACUAACUUAAUUAGAAAAUACAACUUUCAACAACGGAUCUCUUGGCUCUC
rnacentral:misc_RNA from 1 species